CGUAGAGGCGGCGGCAAAAUGGCGGCUCCUGAGGAGCAGGAUCUAACCCAGGAGCAGACAGAGAAGCUGCUACAGUUUCAGGAUCUGACUGGCAUAGAAUCUAUGGAUCAGUGUCGCCAUACCUUGGAACAGCAUAACUGGAACAUAGAGGCUGCUGUACAGGACAGAUUGAAUGAGCAAGAGGGUGUACCAAGUGUUUUCAACCCACCUCCUUCCCGACCCCUGCAGGUUAAUACAGCAGACCACAGGAUCUACAGCUAUGUUGUCUCAAGACCACAACCAAGGGGGCUGCUUGGAUGGGGUUAUUACUUGAUAAUGCUUCCAUUCCGGUUUACCUAUUACACGAUACUUGAUAUAUUUAGGUUUGCUCUUCGUUUUAUACGGCCAGACCCUCGCAGCCGGGUCACUGACCCCGUUGGGGACAUUGUUUCGUUUAUGCACUCUUUUGAAGAGAAAUAUGGGAGGGCACACCCUGUCUUCUACCAGGGAACGUACAGCCAGGCACUUAAUGAUGCCAAGCGGGAGCUUCGCUUUCUUUUGGUUUAUCUUCAUGGCGAUGAUCACCAGGACUCUGAUGAGUUUUGCCGCAACACACUCUGUGCACCCGAAGUUAUUUCACUCAUUAACACUAGGAUGCUCUUCUGGGCAUGCUCCACAAACAAACCUGAGGGAUACAGGGUAUCCCAGGCUUUGCGAGAGAACACAUAUCCAUUCCUGGCCAUGAUUAUGCUAAAGGAUCGGAGAAUGACUGUGGUGGGACGGUUAGAAGGCCUCAUUCAACCUGAUGACCUCAUUAACCAACUGACAUUUAUCAUGGAUGCGAACCAGACUUACUUGGUGUCAGAACGCCUAGAAAGGGAAGAAAGAAACCAGACCCAGGUACUGAGACAGCAGCAGGAUGAGGCAUAUCUGGCUUCUCUCAGAGCUGACCAGGAGAAAGAAAGAAAGAAACGGGAGGAGCGGGAACGCAAGCGACGGAAGGAAGAGGAGGUGCAGCAGCAAAAGCUGGCAGAGGAGAGACGGCGACGGAAUUUACAAGAGGAAAAGGAAAAGAAGUUGGAGUGCCUGCCUCCUGAGCCUUCCCCUGAUGACCCUGAAAGUGUCAAGAUCAUUUUUAAAUUACCCAAUGAUUCUCGAGUAGAGAGACGAUUCCACUUUUCACAGUCUCUAACAGUAAGGGCCCCCUAAGUUGUGUGAACUGUAUGUAGAGUCCAGGCUGUGGAUUUGGAGACUUUUACAGACUCUCGGGAGUGUUGUUGGUGUUUCUGCUGCCCUGAUGAACAGGGAAGGAACAGAAAGACAGACAGACAGAUAGAUAAACGAUGUCAGUGGACACAGGAGGAAUGUAGUGAACUGUUAUAGAUUCCUUCAGUUGUUGCUACCAACUCAAAUCAAUUAUUAAGGUUUUCUUUCAUCCAUCAUAAUGUUUGAACUCUGCACAAGACUUGUGUGUUUGAGGGUGAGAGAGUCUUCCGUGCUGCUCUUCUUGCACUGGCUUUAGAAUCCCACCAAAACCCCUUGCUCUAUAGAGAAAACUCUGCCUCCAGUGACCUAGAAGCACCUGAAUUACACACCUGUAUAUCAGGGCACGUGCAGUUUGGAUGCAGUUGCAAUCAUUUCUCUCCCUUUCUACCCAUGGUCACUUCUUGAGGCUACCGUACAUAUUUGGUAUCCAUAAAAAAAAACCAAACUAGUGGUCACUGAGUCAGUUCUGACUCAUGUAGACCCAGUGUAUUGCAGAGUAGAACUGUGCUGUGACCUUUCAGAAGCAGAUCACCAGGCCUGUCUUCCAACGCCCUCUAGGUGGGUGCAAACCACCAACUUUUUGGUUAGUUGUUGAGCACUUAACUGUUUGCGCCCCCUAGGGACUCAUUGCUAUCCAUAGGUAAACAGUAUUUUGUUUUUCCAUAGUCUUCUCCUUUCUCUUAAAAGGAAUGGAAAGUAGUCAAAAGCAAAGAGUCUGAGCCUCACAGAAUGAGAGUCAAAUUCUAAUUCUUCCAAGGCUACCAGAUAUGUUUUCUUGAUCACUUUACUUAAUCCAGUAGCUUCGAUUUCCUCAUAAACAAAAGAAAGUUUUUGUUUAUAUUGUGAGUUGGUAAGCUACCUUCCCAAAUUUACAGCUGUAGUAGAUUCUGCUAUUUCCCUGAUCAUCCGAGAUAAUCAAGAGUAAAUUGUGUAAUAAAAAUGAAGAUGUACUAUAGUCUUGUAAGGCUGGGUAGUACAUUCUUUGAUUCUCCUUAUUUAACUGAAGAACAUAAAACAUUAACUCACUAGUUAAAAAUCUUUUACAAUGCCUCAGAUUUCCCAUCUGUGAAAUGGACAGAUAACCUGCCCUCUAAUAACUUUAAACUGAAGAUAAGUGUCUGUGAGGCUCUGUGCUAGGUACAGUAGGGAUUAUGCAGAUGAAUAAGACAUAGUUCUGGCCAGUAGGGAAUGUAAGACUCAAAAGAUCUAACCCAGAGUACAGGGUUAUGUGGCAUCCUGGUGACAGAAAAGCAAAUAGCUUUCUCAUUUCAUUUGUUUAUCUCUUCAUUUAUGAAUUAUUUAUAUUGGAGGGGUACUCACAUCUCAAAUUUUGGAUUUUUUUUUUUAAUUGGGAUAACAAGAAUGUGCCUCACACAGCACCUACAUGUAGUAGGUGGUCAUUAAAUGUUAAUCCCCUUCCAUAGAAUCCACAUGGAAACCAGUGGUUAGAAAAGCCUGCUGUGACCACUGGUUUGCAUAAGGAUUCUAGCCUGCAGCCAUGUUUAUUAGCAAUUUCACUGUCCUCGUUUUGGGGUAUAGCCACAGGCGCCUGAGUUUUAUGGAACUUCUACAUCCAAAGCUCCCAUAGGUAAAAAUAUAUGUGAAAAUGUAACUAAAAUUUACUCUCCUGAGAGUUUUUGAGGAGAAAUCUAGUUUAAUUGUGGAACAGAAUGGGUUUGUGGCCAGAAGAAGCCUUUUGUUAACUGUUUAAUUGUUUAAAAAAAGACCUGAGACUGAGAGAAGUGUUUGAUCAUAAACAAGACCAGGCUCAGAGAUGUCAGCGAAGUGUGAAGGAGGAGUAGUGUAGUGGCAGAGCUGGCCUUUACUACUCGUAGAGAUCAUAACAUAACCAAAUAAUGUACAGUUCUUCAGUGCUCUUAUCUUACUGUGUACUCUCCCCGCUGUAAAUUAUCCUAAGGGGUGAAUGUACAAUGAAACGUUCAAUUUGCAGAUGCUAGUCGGCUCUUGAUAGUGGUGAAAUGCUAAAACAAAAAACGAUAAACUGUAGGAAAAUCUCCAGGUUUUAUGAGUGAGCAGGAAUGUGGCAGCUGACUUUCUUUUGAAUGAGUGCGUAGGAGAGAGGAUCCAAAUACUAUUCAUUUUUCUAUCUAUUACAAACCAAAAAGAACCUCUGGGGGUAUGUAAUCCAUUAGCUUGAGAUAUCAACCCAUUGUCAAUGGCAAACGAAAAAUGCCAGCUUUGAAUGUUGGAUAUUCUCUAGCAAUAAUUGAAACAGAAAAUAUUAUUUCAUCCUUAUAUAAAAUCUGCGUUAGGUUUGUGCCAAGAAUACUUCGUGUGAGUCAGAUUGGUGCAUCUGAAGAAAAGAAAAGUGAACAUCAUGAAAAUUACAAAGAGUCAGAGAAAAUGAUUGAGGCUGAUAGGAGACUGAAAUAUGAGAAGUUUACAAAAUCAUGGAUUAGAUUAAAAGAACAUGAAUUUACUCCCUAAAUUCUAGAGUUGUAGCCCCUUAAAAUCUCUAAAGAGGUAAGUUUAAGACAAAGGAAGGACAGCAUCACACAGAGGGGAAGAAACUUAGAGAACCCAUCCCAUCAUUCUGAAAGAUGGACCAAAAAGAAAAUAGAAAUCGCUUCCCACGAAAGAGAAGGAUAAAAGCUUGCGUAACGUUUCCUAAUCUUGGAGUUGGCCAGAAAGAGGUAAUCCAUGACUUCUUAUUCUCCUUGAAAGAAAGUCCUGAAAAGUUUCAGAUCGAAGCCAACUUCCCCCGACGGGUGCUGCCCUGUGUCCCCUCAGAGGAGUGGCCCAAUCCCCCUACACUGCAGGAGGCCGGACUC